AUUAUAAUAAUUGAAAAAAAAUAUUGUUUUGCAAAAACAAAAAUAACCUCUAUGGUUUUAUAAUU
rnacentral:tRNA from 1 species